GUUUCGUGGCGCAAUUGACUGAAUAUUUAAUGAAGUUUGUGGUAUAAGAAUCUUUUCUACUACGUGCAUGGUUAGGCUUUACUCCGGAUUAGCAUCUAAGGUCCUGCUAAGGUUUCAAGUCCCCAAUGCCUGCAGUGGAGGAAAACCAACCCUGUGCUAGUUAACCCAGAGAACUUAACCGAUGGCAAUCUAGCUAACUAAUAGGAAAGAUUGGAGGGCCAUCUCUGGUUUUGAAAGAAUUCAACGAUGGGCUGGGGGAAAAGAAACAAACAAACAACAACAACUAAAGAAAAGAGUUGAAGCAAGAAUACCGAGAAUAGAAACAUCUCUGUUCAUCCAGAGGACCGAAUCUGUAAGAUUCCAACGCUCCCUGGGCAACCCCCCGUGGGAGGCCACCUGUAAGAGUAAAAGACCUUCAGCCCCUGGGGGCUCUUUGGGCUCUAUACUUUACGUUCAAAUACCCAGCCUGCGGUUCUGUGCCGUGCUAAAUCUGGUGAUGGUCUUUCUGAAGGUACACCUGUCCAUUAAGAAUGGCAACCGAGACUCCCAACUCAUUUUACGUAGGCUACCGCACAGCCGUGGGAGUUAAUGACUUUGGAGUGUUUUGUCUUUGACAAUAAGCUGAAAUCUUGACUAUGCAAUUGACUGCAACUGCAUAAAUUGCUAUUUGGAACGAAUCUUAAUAUAUACACUUGUGUAUAUGAAUACAGCUAGCUGCACUUUCCCCAUACGAUCACGGUUGUUAACGUUCUACCCAUUUUAAGUGAGCAAAUUUGAAUAAAAUGGCUGCGUAAUACAUUCUGCGUUAACAUCAGCUAUUUAAAGAGCCCAAGGAUUAAAAGUUAAUUCCAUCCUUUUAAUUCAAGGGACAUAUAAAUGGCAUUAUGGGUAGAGCCAACCCCUUUUUUAUCAGCCCUUUCAUGCUGCCUCCUCACUAAUUCUUGGUUGUUCAAAUGCUACCUACAUAAUAAAAGCCUUGAGUUAAUUUACUAAGAUUUUACACCAGUGGAAAUGAAAGAAAGGAAAGUGCUAAACAAGGCAAUUAGCACUCUGUUUAGUGCACUCCCAAAAUAAAUGUAGGCAAUUUACAAUUUGGCAAAUGGCUCUCUAUCCAGAUCCAACUCAUUUAUGCCUAAGGGGGUGGUACAGUUCAUUAGGGGGAAAAAGUGUUUAUAUAUAUUAUGCUAUUGAGGCCCAACCCAUUUUGUACUCCAGCAACAGAUGCGACUCCUCCUGCGGUUUAUUAGUGUUUCUUGCAGAAAAAUGCCAAACUAUUAUGCUUUCAAAUAAAUGGUCCAAAAAGAAUGCCUUGUCCUAUUGAGUAUUAGGAGCUAGCUUUACAAGAUGGGGGUGUCUGAGUGGUUGUCGGGCAUGGCUUGCAAAACCUAGUCAUGGGCCGGAGCCUCUUUUGUGGCUCUUGAAGCAUGCAUUUCCACUCUGAUUCCAGUAGCCGAGAUCCGCUGGAACUGUUCAUUUGAAGGACUGCUGACUGCUUCUUAAUUGACAGGAAGGUUGCUCCGAGACUUUCAUGUUUAUUCUUGUAAGCCUCUUAUUAGCGCAAAAAUAAUAGAUGCUGUUAAUGCAGAAUCACAACCGACAUUAAUAUUUAAGAUGCUGGAACGAUAAAGGUUAAACAUGUGUUUAUAUUGCUUUUGA